rnacentral:lncRNA from 1 species
GGUACGCCGGGGAGCUCGAGCGCGGGCGCGCGCCUGCGCCCACUCGGAAGGCUGGGGAGGGCCCCCGGCUCCCGCCCGGGGACAGAGGCGACCGGUCGCUGACCAGCACCCCGCCUGGACUCCCCGUCAGGCCGGGAUUCGCACCCUCAGGCGAGGGCUGUCGAGUCAGAGUCGUCCUCCGGCGGGGGGCGCACAUUCCGGCGGCGCCGGGAUCCUUCCAGAGGCUUCUCUGAAAAGAUGGUGCAGCGCGGGGCUGCAGCUCGAGGGGCCGGAGGGCUACGUGAUUGCCGCUCGCAGCAGCAGGCGGCCUCUUCCGCCUGCAGAAACCCGCCCUCCAAAUUAAAAAGCGCUUCAACUCUUGUUACCGUAAGUGCACUUUUAGUACCGCAGUACAUUUCCAGUAC